UGGAAAUUACUGUACGUCCGCAACCGGAGUCAUCUGAGACAGUUUUUCCCCCAACGACCCAGCGUUCAGUGCUGCAUUUUGUAAAAUAUACCCCAGAAAAGUCAUACACAACUUUAACUGAGCAACCAGAAGAGAAUGCUACCACGAACGUCAACAUAUGUGAGCUCUGUAUCUGCAAAGAUGAGACGCUGUCGUGUACCGGUUUCAGCCCAAAGCAGAGGCUCCACAGAGUGCCUGUGCCAGAGCCCAGCACCUACAAUGGCACCUUCACCACCUUAAAUUUCGAAGGAAAUUCUAUUUCUUACAUUGAUGAAAAUAUAUGGAAGGCAUACCGUUGGGCUGAGAAACUAAUUCUCAGGGAAAAUUAUUUGACCGAAUUACAUAAGGACUCAUUUGAAGGCCUACUAUCACUCCAGUAUUUAGAUUUAUCCUGCAAUAAAAUACAAUCUAUUGAAAGACGUGCAUUUGAACCACUACCUUUUUUGCAGUUUAUAAAUCUUGGUUGCAAUUUACUCACAGAACUGAGCUUUGGAACAUUUCAGGCCUGGCAUGGAAUGCAGUUUUUACACAAGUUGUAAGUGAAAUAGAAAAUGAAUACAUGUAAAAAAAAAUAACUGUGUAAAAACACCAUACAGUUAUUGCUUCAGUGGGUGUAAUAAGCCUAGUAUGAACUCUGAAAAGUAUGUCUUAAAAUCUAUUCAUUUCUUCAAAUGAGGAAACUAAGGUACAAAGAGGCCAAGAGACUUGUCUGUCUCAUAAAUGGCACACUCCGCUUUCUCUAGGACUCAGCUUUGGUGUGGGCAAUAAAAGACCCCAAGCAAAUAACAGCCAAAUCAGCAUUAUCCUGGGACUCCAUGACAAUGAUGCUUCUCCAAUAGGUGCAUGGUCCUUGAAAUUUCACUUUUGAAUUUAACUUUGAUUCCUGCUCAUGUGCAAAGUUCCUAACUGCUUCAAGACAUGCAAAAUAAAGCUUCGAAGAACUAAGUUUAGCACGGAGUUGUCCAGGGAGCAAAAGUGUGGGUCCUUCCUCAUCCAUCAGCUUCUUUUAAAUGGUAAAGCAGAAAGAACUCCUGAAAACUUACCACAAGGCACUUCUCUCCCCAGUCACCCAGAGCAAAAAGUAUAUACCUCUGAAGUAAACUAUCCGGGGGCAGUAGGAACCUUUGAGGUACGGAAAACGAUGCGUUUAUGUUAAGUUGUAGUGUGGGAAAACGUUCAUAAAGAACAUACAUUGCUGUAGCCUAAUUUCAUAUGCUUUCUUUCCUGACUGUUCUUCAGUAAGAAGCCUGUUAUUCCCUUUCAGCUGGAAAAUUCCGUGAUUUCUCUAUGACAUAUCAAGUCAUAGUGGGUAUGUUCAAUGGCCUGAGGGGCAGUUUAGACACAAGGUGAAGAUCUUCCUCUAAACCUGACUUUGGAAAAGACUAUCUUAUCUGUCUCGUGGUUCAGAAAUACAAUUUCACACAGUUUAUUUUAGAAUGGAUGAAGGUGUUGAGGGUGCGUCUGGAGCUGAGUAACUGUUGCCGCCGACGUCCAUCUGUAGCAGCCUCCUCUCUCCUCUCAAUUUGCUGAUGCCUCACUCGU